AACGUGUGAUGACAUUUUGUUUCGGUCCCAGAUGACUGCCUGAUUACUUUUAAAUUGAGAUCAACUGAUGUU
ensembl:snoRNA SNORD73 Small nucleolar RNA SNORD73